GGUUCGAUUCCGGAGAGGGAGCCUGAGAAACGGCUACCACAUCCAAGGAAGGCAGCAGGCGCGCAAAUUACCCAUUCCCGACGCGGGGAGGUAGUGACGAAAAAUAACAAUGCAGGACUCGUUCGAGGCCCUGUAAUUGGAAUGAGUACACUUUAAAAGCUUUAACGAGUAUCCAUUGGAGGGCAAGUCUGGUGCCAGAAGCCGCGGUAAUUCCAGCUCCAAAAGUAUAUAUUUAAGUUGUUGCGGUUAAAAAGCUCGUAGUUGGAUUUUGGGCGCAGGCGGCCGGUCCGUCGCAAGGCGUGUACUGGACGUCCUGGCCUUCCCUCCGGUUCUCCGCCGGUGCUCUUGACUGAGUGUCGGCGGCGGCCGGAACGUUUACUUUGAAAAAAUUAGAGUGUUCAAAGCAGGCUCUCGAGCCUGGAUAAUGGUGCAUGGAAUAAUGGAAUAGGACCUCGGUUCUAUUUUGUUGGUUUUCGGAGCGCGAGGUAAUGAUUAAGAGGGACAGACGGGGGCAUUCGUACUGUGCCGUUAGAGGUGAAAUUCUUGGAUCGGCGCAAGACGAACGACUGCGAAAGCAUUUGCCAAGAAUGUUUUCUUUAAUCAAGAGCGAAAGUCAGAGGUUCGAAGACGAUCAGAUACCGUCCUAGUUCUGACUAUAAACGAUGCCAACUAGCGAUCGGGGGGCGUUACAUUGACGACCCCUCCGGCAGCUUACGGGAAACCA
rnacentral:ncRNA from 1 species